rnacentral:rRNA from 1 species
UACGAAGGGGGCUAGCGUUGUUCGGAUUUACUGGGCGUAAAGCGCACGUAGGCGGAUCGUUAAGUCGGGGGGUGAAAUCCUGGAGCUCAACUCCAGAACUGCCUUCGAUACUGGCGAUCUUGAGUCCGGAAGAGGUGAGUGGAACUCCUAGUGUAGAGGUGGAAUUCGUAGAUAUUAGGAAGAACACCAGUGGCGAAGGCGGCUCACUGGUCCGGUACUGACGCUGAGGUGCGAAAGCGUGGGGAGCAAACAGGAUGAUGAUACCGAC